GCGCUCUCUUCCGCAGCGCAUAUACCUAAGUUGAAAUGAUACAGGGACAUUGCAUGGCCCCUGCGAAAAGAUGCCGUGCAAAUUCGUGAAGCGUUCCAUAUUUAC